rnacentral:rRNA from 1 species
GACGAACGCUGGCGGCGUGCUUAACACAUGCAAGUCGAACGAAGAGCGAUGGAAGCUUGCUUCUCUCAAUCUUAGUGGCGAACGGGUGAGUAACGCGUAAUCAACCUGCCCUUCAGAGGGGGACAACAGUUGGAAACGACUGCUAAUACCGCAUACGAUCUAAACUCGGCAUCGAGGAUAGAUGAAAGGUGGCCUCUACAUGUAAGCUAUCACUGAAGGAGGGGAUUGCGUCUGAUUAGCUAGUUGGAGGGGUAACGGCCCACCAAGGCGAUGAUCAGUAGCCGGUCUGAGAGGAUGAACGGCCACAUUGGGACUGAGACACGGCCCAGACUCCUACGGGAGGCAGCAGUGGGGAAUCUUCCGCAAUGGACGAAAGUCUGACGGAGCAACGCCGCGUGAGUGAUGACGGCCUUCGGGUUGUAAAGCUCUGUUAAUCGGGACGAAAGGCCUUCUUGCGAAUAGUGAGAAGGAUUGACGGUACCGGAAUAGAAAGCCACGGCUAACUACGUG